AGAGUUUGAUCCUGGCUCAGAGCGAACGCUGGCGGCAGGCUUAACACAUGCAAGUCGAGCGGGCGUAGCAAUACGUCAGCGGCAGACGGGUGAGUAACGCGUGGGAACGUACCUUUUGGUUCGGAACAACCCAGGGAAACUUGGGCUAAUACCGGAUAAGCCCUUACGGGGAAAGAUUUAUCGCCGAAAGAUCGGCCCGCGUCUGAUUAGCUAGUUGGUGGGGUAACGGCCCACCAAGGCGACGAUCAGUAGCUGGUCUGAGAGGAUGAUCAGCCACAUUGGGACUGAGACACGGCCCAAACUCCUACGGGAGGCAGCAGUGGGGAAUAUUGGACAAUGGGGGCAACCCUGAUCCAGCCAUGCCGCGUGAGUGAUGAAGGCCCUAGGGUUGUAAAGCUCUUUUGUGCGGGAAGAUAAUGACGGUACCGCAAGAAUAAGCCCCGGCUAACUUCGUGCCAGCAGCCGCGGUAAUACCAAGGGGGCUAGCGUUUGCUCGGAAUCACUGGGCGUAAAGGGUGCGUAGGCGGGGUCUUUAAAUCAGGGGGUGA
rnacentral:rRNA from 1 species